UCAUCUAUCUAAUAUCUAUUUACCAAACGUUUAGGAACUUGAAGCUACUUAGCAUUCGGUGGUAAGAAUAAAGGGGCAGUCGGGCAGGGCGUGGCUGAUUUACAGAAGCCUGGGAUGAAACAGCCAAGGACAGCGUCAACGGAGGAAACAGAAAAAAAUAUCUGAGAGCAAAGGACAAAGGGAGAAUCUGACAUCGGGAACAUAGCAAAACUCCAUCCAUACCUUGAAGGAAGGGGAGACAGAGAAGCCCCCCCCCCCCCAGGGCUAGUGGGGGUGGGAUUGGGGGAAUGGACCUAGGAGUGGUGGACAGAGGAAGAAGAGACAAAGGAGACCCCUCCUGGGGUUUGUGCUUAAAAGCUCACCCUGAGGAAGGCAAGGGCUACACCGGGAUCCUAAAACUCAGUGUAGUCGCCAGCCAGCUAAUAAAGACUUCCUUAAACGCCUGUCUGAGCAGUCCUCUCUGGUUCAGGACGCCCCUAACAACAGCUCUUGGUAGAGCAGAGGUUUGAGAUCAGGUGUGAAACCUUGCAAAAGAGUCAUUUUCCAGUUUCAGUGUUGCUGGAAUAUCACCACUGGGCAGAGCCCUUGCCUUGCCUCCCACUGGAACACCGAAGAGAGAUGGAAAGGGGCGCACACGGAGGACACUCAGAACAGUCUGUAAGAUUCAACUUAUCUAAGAAACUGCUUGCAACUGAACUUUGAUAGGCACGACUGUGGUGGCAAGAGAGAGAAGCAGUUUGAGGAAGUGCGUCUAGAAGAUACUUAAAAAGGAAUAGAGAGGAAGUUCUCUGCCAUGCAUAUGCAAAUUCCGAUUUGUAUUUGAGCCUGCCAAUAAAUCCUUCUGGAAGUUUUUUUAUUUUUUUUUUUUUUGCAUUUAUGUAUUUUAUGUCGCAUUAAACUGUGCCAUUUUUGGAUUUAUUCUUUAUUUCUUUAUUUAUUUAUUAUAUCUAAGUACUCUGUAGUUGUCUUCAGAUGCACCAGAAGAGGGCGUCAGAUCUCAUUACGGAUGGUUGUGAGCCACCAUGUGGUUGAUGGGAUUUGAACUCAGGACCUUUGGAAGAGCUGUCAGUGUUCUUAACCACUGAGCCAUCUCAGGCCGUGGAUUUAUUCUUAAUAAUCCAUUUUGGAGAGUUUACAUUGAGCUGCUGAUAAAGACCAUCUUCACUUAAUGAAGCAAACUGGAAAGUAUAGUGUGUUGUAUGAUCUUCAUAUAUCAUGGCUCCAUUGCAGAAUGAGCUUGGUUCUAUUCUGAAUACUGAAGAAAUGUAGAAAGAAGGAGACUACAUUUGGUGACAAUUAUGGAAUGAAAUUGAGGCACAUGCGGGUGAUAUUUUUAUUAAUUGCCCUUCAGUAUUCGUUUCCAUUCUUAGCAAUAGCUUUGGAUUUUACCUUGCUGAGAAUAAAGACUGUUUCCCAUCUCGACUGAAGCAAUUCGUGGCCACGUGCCUAAGUGCCGGAGAGUGGACUAUGGGUAAAGGUAUGCUACUUUCUCUAUUUUUCCAAGAAUGGGAAACGAAGGAAGCUUGUGAAUAGAAAUCUAGUCUUUUGGACCCUGGAGCUCCACAUCAAUGUUAAAUAAUCGACUUCUAGGGUUUUCUAUGAGGAAGGAACUGGUUUGUUUAAACCUAUAUCAUAUUAGGUAUAAUUUUGGGGUAGGGGAAACAGGACAGAAUUUCAACUGAUGUGUAAUUAUAAAUUUGGAGGUUGAUUUUAGCAUUUUUUUUCUGUUAAAGUGAUGUCACGCUGAAUUCUAGAGUUUGAGAUUCUGUUUUUAGAGGCCUCACACUUUAGAUUGGGCCACUCCUAUUCAAGCUGAAGUAAUGUUGAUGUAAAAGCCAAUAUAUGUUAUUCAGUGGCUGUUAUUCAAGUUUCUAAGAAUAGAGAAGUGUGAAAGUAA